rnacentral:rRNA from 1 species
UCUCUCUGAAUCUGCGUACGGCUCCGCAAACCAGUUGUAAACCAUAGCAGUGUUCCGCCCGGCUUCAGCAAUGGGGUCGGGCAUUAUAUGGAUAACCGUGGUAAUUCUGAGGCUAAUACAUGACACACCAACUCGGCGGGCUGGGGCAACCCGGCUUGCUGGGGGACGUGCGAAUCAGCAAUGCUAUAACGAACAUCGGGAAUGAGCGCACGUUCAGACCGCCAUCCAAACGGGUGAGGGGGGGCUUCGGCUUCUUCGGUCCCGGGCGGCCUCUGCAACGGGCUUCUGACCUAUCAACUAGACGGCAGCGUAAGGGACAUGCUAUGGUAACAACGGGUACAGAGGAUUAGGGUUCGAUCCUGGAGAGUGGGCCUGAGAGAUUGAGC